GGGGCAGCGGGGAGGAAGCUUGCUUUCUCCGCCUGCGACCGGCGCACGGGUGAGUAACACGUAUGCAACCUGCCCCUGUCAGGGGGACAACCCGCCGAAAGGCGGGCUAAACCCGCGUACAUGCCACCGGGGCAUCCCGGAGGCAGGAAAGGCUUCGGCCGGACAGGGAUGGGCAUGCGGCGCAUUAGGCAGUAGGCGGGGUAACGGCCCACCUAACCGACGAUGCGUAGGGGUUCUGAGAGGAAGGUCCCCCACACUGGUACUGAGACACGGACCAGACUCCUACGGGAGGCAGCAGUGAGGAAUAUUGGUCAAUGGUCGGGAGACUGAACCAGCCAAGCCGCGUGAGGGAGGAAGGUACAGAGUAUCGUAAACCUCUUUUGUCAGGGAACAAAGACUGGGACGCGUCCCCGGAUG
rnacentral:rRNA from 1 species